rnacentral:rRNA from 1 species
CGGGAGAAUUGCUAGCUUGCUAAUAAUUCUCUAGUGGCGCACGGGUGAGUAACACGUGAGUAACCUGCCCCCAAGAGUGGGAUAGCCCCGGGAAACUGGGAUUAAUACCGCAUAAAAUCGCAAGAUUAAAGCAGCAAUGCGCUUGGGGAUGGGCUCGCGUCCUAUUAGUUAGUUGGUGAGGUAACGGCUCACCAAGGCGAUGACGGGUAGCCGGUCUGAGAGGAUGUCCGGCCACACUGGAACUGAGACACGGUCCAGACACCUACGGGUGGCAGCAGUCGAGAAUCAUUCACAAUGGGGGAAACCCUGAUGGUGCGACGCCGCGUGGGGGAAUGAAGGUCUUCGGAUUGUAAACCCCUGUCAUGUGGGAGCAAAUUAAAAAGAUAGUACCACAAGAGGAAGAGACGGCUAACUCUGUGCCAGCAGCCGCGGUAAUACAGAGGUCUCAAGCGUUGUUCGGAAUCACUGGGCGUAAAGCGUGCGUAGGCGGUUUCGUAAGUCGUGUGUGAAAGGCGGGGGCUCAACCCCCGGACUGCACAUGAUACUGCGAGACUAGAGUAAUGGAGGGGGAACCGGAAUUCUCGGUGUAGCAGUGAAAUGCGUAGAUAUCGAGAGGAACACUCGUGGCGAAGGCGGGUUCCUGGACAUUAACUGACGCUGAGGCACGAAGGCCAGGGGAGCGAAAGGGAUUAGAUACCCCUGUAGUCCUGGCAGUAAACGGUGCACGCUUGGUGUGCGGGGAA